ACUGUGGGUGGCGAGUGGCGGACGGGUGAGUAAUGCAUCGGGAUCUACCCAAACGUGGGGGAUAACGUAGGGAAACUUACGCUAAUACCGCAUACGUCCUAUGGGAGAAAGCGGGGGAUCGCAAGACCUCGCGCGGUUGGACGAACCGAUGUGCGAUUAGCUUGUUGGUGAGGUAACGGCUCACCAAGGCGACGAUCGCUAGCUGGUCUGAGAGGAUGAUCAGCCACACUGGAACUGAGACACGGUCCAGACUCCUACGGGAGGCAGCAGUGGGGAAUAUUGGACAAUGGGCGCAAGCCUGAUCCAGCAAUGCCGCGUGUGUGAAGAAGGCCUUCGGGUUGUAAAGCACUUUUAUCAGGAGCGAAAUGCCAUUGGUUAAUACCCGGUGGAGCUGACGGUA
rnacentral:rRNA from 2 species